CAAGUCAGCAUGGCCCUUACACCCUGGGCUACAAACAUGCUACAAUGGACGCAAAACAGAGGGAUCCGAGCUCGCGAGAGGGAGGCAAUCCCAGAAAGGCGUUCUCAGUUCGGAUCGCAGGCUGCAACUCGCCUGCGUGAAGUCGGAAUCGCUAGUAACCGCAGAUCAGCUAAGCUGCGGUGAAUACGUUCCCGGGGCUU
rnacentral:rRNA from 1 species